GUAGAGAUCCAUCCAUCAUGGAUCUUAGCAAGCUAGUGGGAGCUAUAAACGUCUUAUGAGAGAAAGAUCAAAUCGUUUGAUUUCUCAUAAAGAUGUAAAUGAAUCCUUUGUUUACUAGGUUUACAAAAGAUUAGUGGGAGUUAAUCAUGUUCCUAAAAUUGAAUAUAUACAAAUAUAUGAUAUAUUAAUUUUGGAAAUGAAAAAGAAUACUUCUUCGUUAAAGUUAUGACUUUAAACAUUCUACAACGAUAGAAUGUUUAUGGGAGACAUAGUCUAUGAACAUGGGAUGUAAAUCUAUAAUGAUAGAUUUUAGGAUAUAAUUGGAUUAUAUCAAGCUCUAAUGAUAGACAAAAGAUGCUAGGGAGUUUCUCAUAUGAUGAUAAACUUCAAUCAGAAGAACAACUCUAGUAAGACUAGGAGGUAGCUUUUCUCAAAAGGAACAUACCCUUUGACUCCCAAAGAACUAAUGCGUAAAUAGAAUCCUUUAUGCAUACGCAGAAAAGUGAUUUACGUAUUUCAUAUUGUAUGUAAACAUUGAUAUGAGAUGUACCUAGAACGAUACAACACGAUAUCAGUGCAAGCCCAAGAUCAUAACCAUGGGAAAUGUCAAGUGAGUCCUUAAGUAUUUAAGAAAUACUAAAGGAUAGAUUCCUCAAAGAAUGAGGAAGAAUUAGAAUAAACGUAAUGGAAGCGUAAAUGUAU
rnacentral:lncRNA from 1 species